ACGAACGCUGGCGGCAUGCCUAACACAUGCAAGUCGAACGAGACCUUCGGGUCUAGUGGCGCACGGGUGCGUGACGCGUGGGAACCUGUCCUUAGGUUCGGAAUAACUCCCCGAAAGGGGUGCUAAUACCGGAUAAUGUCUUCGGACCAAAGAUUUAUCGCCUUUGGAUGGGCCCGCGUUGGAUUAGCUAGUUGGUAGGGUAAAAGCCUACCAAGGCGACGAUCCAUAGCUGGUCUGAGAGGAUGAUCAGCCACACUGGGACUGAGACACGGCCCAGACUCCUACGGGAGGCAGCAGUGGGGAAUAUUGGACAAUGGGCGAAAGCCUGAUCCAGCAAUGCCGCGUGAGUGAUGAAGGCCUUAGGGUUGUAAAGCUCUUUUACCCGGGAUGAUAAUGACAGUACCGGGAGAAUAAGCUCCGGCUAACUCCGUG
rnacentral:rRNA from 1 species